UACGUAGGGACCAAGCGUUGUUCGGAUUUACUGGGCGUAAAGGGCGCGUAGGCGGCCACCGCAAGUCAAUUGUGAAAUCUCCGGGCUUAACUCGGAAAGGUCAACUGAUACUGCGGGGCUAGAGUGCGGAAGGGGCAACUGGAAUUCUCGGUGUAGCGGUGAAAUGCGUAGAUAUCGAGAGGAACACCUGCGGCGAAGGCGGGUUGCUGGGCCGACACUGACGCUGAUGCGCGAAAGCCAGGGGAGCGAACGGG
rnacentral:rRNA from 1 species